AUUACCGCGGCUGCUGGCACGUAGUUAGCUGGGGCUUCCUCCUAUGGUACCGUCAUUAUCUUCCCAUAGGACAGAGCUUUACGACCCGAAGGCCUUCAUCGCUCACGCGGCGUUGCUGCAUCAGGCUUUCGCCCAUUGUGCAAUAUUCCCCACUGCUGCCUCCCGUAGG
rnacentral:rRNA from 1 species